CACUGCGGCUCAGUCGAAAAAACCUUUUUAAAUACUAGUACUAACUUUGCAUGAGUAAGACCGAAAAAGACAUGUUUAUUUUUAAUAAAAAAAAUUCAAAAAUUUUUUAUUAAAUAAAAUAUGAAUCUUUCCCCUCUUCCCCAAUUAUAAAAAAAAUGAACCUUUUGUUUUUUUUUACCAAAUCUUAAUUCUCAUAUCUUAAUUCUCGGAUUAGCAACAAGCAAGCCAAUGCAUCUGGGUUUCAAUGAAUCAUGGGUUGAUUUAAGCUGAUAUCCUAAACCCUUCCUAGAACAAAACAAAAAUAGAAAGAUACGCGCGUGCCUUCAAUCCACGCUUCAAAUGGAAAAGUUGAGUACUUGUCCGAUUCAUGAUGUGCAACGCCAAGGAAGAAUGGGGGGAAAUGGGAAGGCCUCAACCUUGAAAUAUUAGCUCUCAUACAUAUCAGAAUCCCAGCUGAGUAAGGAGUGGCAACCGCCUCUUCGGUCUGCAAGUCCUGGAUCUCAUGUGUAUUGGGUCCGUUCUGCCGGCCCGACAUUGACAUCCAACAGUGGUGCCGCCGUCGCCACCUCCCAUUCUUAGAUGUCAAUUCAACCGUCGGGAAACUCGUCCAUCGCAGCAAGGGCACCUUCUACCCGCCUCUCUGCCUUCCGCUUGGUUACGCUGGCUUCGAUUUCGCCGCUAACUGGGUAAGAAAGCAAAAGGAAUCAUGUACCCUGGUUGCAUUGAUGAAUGGCUAACGAAUUGUUUCGGACAGUCUUAUUUAUUGGUGUUUCUUUAUUUUCUUUUGACGUAUGUGAGGUGGUUAUAGCAUCCAUAAAUUGUUCUGUUUUCUCAUGGGGUAGAAUGUAAAAUUUAAUUACCAACAGGAUGCAAACUAUCAUGUAACAAUCACCGACUCAAAUGUUGGGGUGCUGCGAAGGUUAAAGUUCACUAGCUGUAUUUUUUUGCA